CGGCGGCUGAGAGCCCCGGAGGGGCCCGGUGAGCGCCGCAGUCGGUCCCCCUUGUACA
rnacentral:snoRNA from 1 species